GGGUAUAACUCAGUGGUAGAGUGCAUGCUUAGCAUGCACAAGGUCCUGGGUUCAAUCCUCAGUACCUCCA
rnacentral:tRNA from 1 species